rnacentral:tRNA from 1 species
AGCAGCUUGGCGCAGUGGGAGCGCGCUGGGCCCAUAACCCAGAGGUCGGUGGAUCGAAACCACUAGCUGCUA